rnacentral:rRNA from 1 species
UACGUAGGGUGCGAGCGUUAAUCGGAAUACUGGGCGUAAAGCGUGCGCAGGCGGUGAUGUAAGACAGGUGUGAAAUCCCCGGGCUAACCUGGGAACUGCAUUUGUGACUGCAUCGCUGGAGUGCGGCAGAGGGGGAUGGAAUUCCGCGUGUAGCAGUGAAAUGCGUAGAUAUGCGGAGGAACACCGAUGGCGAAGGCAAUCCCCUGGGCCUGCACUGACGCUCAUGCACGAAAGCGUGGGGAGCAAA